GGUCCCAGUCCCAGGCCAGGAUCAGUAGAUUAGUAGAUACUGUUUUAUGGUCUGUUAUUGUUGAUGUAUAUCUAUAUACACGCACAUAUAUGGUCGAAAUACAGCAUAUCAAAAUUCAUUCAACCAUAUUCAAGCAAGAAAAUCAGCUAUAAUGAUAAUUUAGACGAGAAUAAAUAUGUUUGUUACAGCAUUUCUCAGUAAUUAUUUUCUGUGAAUCUAAAAAUAUUUACAUUUUGUGUGUUUAUGGUGUGCGGGUCGCAGCCAAUGAGGAUUCAGAGCCGGGACUACGUUUCAUAACUGCGGCUGAGAAUGAGUAGAUGUUUAUAAGUCUCAGACUCACCAGCGGGACAGGAGGGAACAAGUGGGCUUCAAAAAGGCGACGAUUCCUGCAGAAAAUCCCAAGUAUGUGCUCACUGACUGCGGCUCAAUGGAGACCCGUCCGUUAUAAACGGUGGCCGGUUUCAACGCCCACAAACACAGAGACUCUGUGUUUUACACCAAUGACAAACCGCAGGAGAGUCACGCCCGCCCACUAUACCACGGAGGAGGAGAAGGACACGAGUGGACACAGGACAAUGAGAAACAUGGUGUGGAGUGAAGGUGGCCUUGUUCGUGCUCUCUGGAUGCUUUUCCACCUGCUCAAUCUUCUUGAUGCCCUGUGGUGGUCGGAUGAGGGUGGGAGGAGGCUGGAAGGGAUGGGGCUUGUAGUUUUGGAACUCUGUGGGAAUUAAUUUCUGGAAUCAGAAAAACAAAGCAAGUGAGGAAAACCCAACAGAACAGCAACUCCUCUGAGACAAGUUGCUUUUACUAGACUAUAUGCAGAACUGUGUACUUCCCAUCAUACAUUUGUUGUUACUUAGUAAAUAAAUAUAAUUUUAAUUCACUUCAAAUACCAAAAGUAAAAUAAAAUAAAAUAGUGGUUACUGUGGACAGUCCCCAAAGAGACCCCAAAGAGAGCUGGGAUAGGCUCCAGCAGAUCCCUGUGACCCUAAAGAAAAAUAAGCGGGUAUAGACAAUGGAUGGAUAAUGGUUACUGGUGCAGUAAUGUGUACAUUAUAAAUUGUUUAGAACUUGGGUAAAUGGUUAUAAAGGGUUUAAUUAGCAAAUGUAUUUAUUAAAUAUUUCUUCAAUUAGUUUAAUGUAUAAUUAAUGUUUUUAUAAAGAAAGUGGGGGGAAAAAAUUAAUUUCAAGCUUUUAUUCCCAAAGGAAAUAACGCAGUAGGAAGUGACGUAUGCCCGCGACAGCUUCUUCCUGUCUCUUUUCGUUGAGGCUUAGCUAGCGGCCGG
rnacentral:lncRNA from 1 species